UCAAUAUCUCAGUAGGGAAUC
ensembl:piRNA 21ur-4575 ncRNA